UCGAGACCGAAACACAACGAGCGAUUUUGUGAACCUGUAAAAAUAAGCGGUGGCUCUUGCUGCUGCGAUAAAAUCCACCCGAGUCAUCGCCUCAUCCCCUCUUUGGGGUGGGGACGUGAUGAAGGAUGGAUGAACCCUCAAAUCGGCGCAGCGUUGCGCCAAGGGAAUCUUGAAGCACAAGCCCAUAAAUGGGUUUCGUGGGAUGGGGUGCUGUCGCACGCCAUAUUGAUUGACACGACUCUCGGCAAUGGAUAUCUCGGCUCUCGCAUCGAUGAAGAGCGCAGCGAAAUGCGAUAUGUGGUGCGAAUUGCAGAAUCCCGCGAACCAUCGAGUCUUUGAACGCAAGUUGCGCCUGAGGCCAACCGGCUGAGGGCACGUCCGCCUGGGCGUCAAGCAUUUUAUCACUCCGUGCCUACUCUCCCAUUCAUGGAUGUGUUGCUAAGGCUCGGAUGUGCACGGUGGCUCGUCGUGCCCCUUGGUGCGGCGGGCUGAAGGGCGGGUCAUCUUCUCGUUGGCUGCCAACAAUAAGGGUGGAUUAAAUAAGGCCUAUGCUAUUGUGUCAAGCGCGCCCGAGAGAUGGUCAUACUUUUUAGGUGAUCCCAAUUCAUGCGUUGAUCCAUGGAUGGCGUAUCGAAU
rnacentral:rRNA from 1 species